AGUGAACGCUGGCGGUAGGCCUAACACAUGCCAGUCGAACGGCAGCACAGUAAGAGCUUGCUCUUACGGGUGGCGAGUGGCGGACGGGUGAGGAAUACAUCGGAAUCUACUUUUUCGUGGGGGAUAACGUAGGGAAACUUACGCUAAUACCGCAUACGACCUACGGGUGAAAGCAGGGGAUCUUCGGACCUUGCGCGAUUGAAUGAGCCGAUGUCGGAUUAGCUAGUUGGCGGGGUAAAGGCCCACCAAGGCGACGAUCCGUAGCUGGUCUGAGAGGAUGAUCGCCAAAAUGGAACCGGGACAAGGGUCAAGAUCCCAAGGGAGGCAGCAGUGGGGAAUAUUGGACAAUGGGCGCAAGCCUGAUCCAGCCAUACCGCGUGGGUGAAGAAGGCCUUCGGGUUGUAAAGCCCUUUUGUUGGGAAAGAAAAGCAGCAGGUUAAUACCCCGCUGUUCUGACGGUACCCAAAGAAUAAGCACCGGCUAACUUCGUG
rnacentral:rRNA from 1 species